rnacentral:rRNA from 2 species
CUUCAAUUGAAGAGUUUGAUCAUGGCUCAGAUUGAACGCUGGCGGCAGGCUUAACACAUGCAAGUCGAACGGUAACAGGAGAGAGCUUGCUCUCUUGCUGACGAGUGGCGGACGGGUGAGUAAUGCUUGGGAAUCUGCCUAUAGAUGGGGGAUAACCAUUGGAAACGAUGGCUAAUACCGCGUAAUAUCGAGAGAUUAUAGAGUGCUAUUUGGUACUUGUCUAUAGAUGAGCCCAAGUGAGAUUAGCUAGUUGGUGAGGUAAUGGCUCACCAAGGCGACGAUCUCUAGCUGGUUUGAGAGAAUGACCAGCCACACUGGAACUGAGACACGGUCCAGACUUCUACGGAAGGCAGCAGUGGGGAAUAUUGGACAAUGGGGGCAACCCUGAUCCAGCCAUGCCGCGUGUAUGAAGAAGGCCUUAGGGUUGUAAAGUACUUUCGGUAAUGAGGAAGGUUGAUAUUGAAGGAUAUUGACUUGACGUUAGUUACAGAAGAAGCACCGGCUAACUCCGUGCCAGCAGCCGCGGUAAUACGGAGGGUGCGAGCGUUAAUCGGAAUUACUGGGCGUAAAGGGCACGCAGGCGGAUUGGCAAGUUAGAUGUGAAAGCCCCGAGCUUAACUUGGGAAUAGCAUUUAAAACUACUAAUCUAGAGUUGUUUAGGGAGGGGUAGAAUUUCUCGUGUAACAGUGAAAUGUGUAGAGAUGAGAAGGAAUACCGAAGGCGAAGGCAGCCCCUUGGGAACAAACUGACGCUCAUGUGCGAAAGCGUGGGGAGCAAACAGGAUUAGAUACCCUGGUAGUCCACGCCGUAAACGAUCUCGAUUUGGAGGCUGGAGCUUUAUGUUUUGGCUUUCGUAGCUAACGCGUUAAAUCGAGCGCCUGGGGAGUACGGCCGCAAGGUUAAAACUCAAAUGAAUUGACGGGGGCCCGCACAAGCGGUGGAGCAUGUGGUUUAAUUCGACGCAACGCGUAGAACCUUACCUACUCUUGACAUCUAGAGAAUCCUUGAGAGAUCGAGGAGUGCCUUCGGGAGCUCUAAGACAGGUGCUGCAUGGCUGUCGUCAGCUCGUGUUGUGAAAUGUUGGGUUAAGUCUCGCAACGAGCGCAACCCCCAUCUUUAGUUGCUACAUUAAGUUGAGAACUCUAAAGAGACUGCCGGUGAUAAGCCGGAGGAAGGUGGGGAUGACGUCAAGUCAUCAUGGCCCUUAUGAGUAGGGCUACACACGUGCUACAAUGGUUUAUACAGAGGGUUGCGAGACGGCGACGUUAAGCUAAUCCCUUAAAGUAAAUCUAAGUCCGGAUUGUAGUCUGCAACUCGACUACAUGAAGUCGGAAUCGCUAGUAAUCGCAAAUCAGAAUGUUGCGGUGAAUACGUUCCCGGGCCUUGUACACACCGCCCGUCAAACCAUGGGAGUGGUUUGUACCAGAAGUAGAUAGCUUAACCUUCGGGAGGGCGUUUACCACGGUAUGAAUCGUGACUGGGGUUAAGUCGUAACAAGGUAACCGUAGGGGAACCUGCGGUUGGAUUACCUCCUUAUA